GGGCGGGAUGGGAGUGUCUUCUUGGCCGUGGAAAUCGAUCCUCCUACCUUGUCCUGAAGCCGCCCGCCGCCUUUCCUCGUCCCUCCCUUCGCGGUGAUUUUCCGGUCCCGGCGCCCGGCGAGGGCGCGCGGCUGGUGUCCGCCCCGCCCGAAAGGUUUCAUCAGUUUCACCCUUUUCUGUGUGCAGCUGAUUUUAGAAAGAUUGCUUCCUUGUAUGGUAGCGAUAAGUUUGAUUUGCCCUAUGGGAUGAGAACAUCAGCAUACCCUGUAAAAAGUGUGUGGUGGUUGGUAAUGGAGGAGUUUUGAAGAAUAAGACAUUAGGAGAAAAAAUCGACUCCUAUGAUGUAAUAAUAAGAAUGAAUAAUGGUCCUGUUUUAGGACAUGAAGAAGAAGUUGGGAGAAGGACAACCUUCCGACUUUUUUAUCCAGAAUCUGUUUUUUCAGAUCCUAUUCACAAUGACCCUAAUACGACAGUGAUUCUCACUGCUUUUAAGCCACAUGAUUUAAGGUGGCUGUUGGAAUUGUUGAUGGGUGACAAAAUAAACACUAAUGGUUUUUGGAAGAAACCAGCCUUAAAUCUGAUUUAUAAACCUUAUCAAAUCCGAAUAUUAGAUCCUUUCAUUAUCAGAACAGCAGCUUAUGAACUGCUUCAUUUUCCAAAAGUGUUUCCCAAAAAUCAGAAACCUAAACACCCAACAACAGGAAUUAUUGCCAUCACACUGGCGUUUUACAUAUGUCACGAAGUUCACCUAGCUGGUUUUAAAUACAACUUUUCUGACCUCAAGAGUCCUUUGCACUACUAUGGGAAUGCCACCAUGUCUUUGAUGAAUAAGAACGCGUAUCACAAUGUGACUGCAGAGCAGCUCUUUUUGAAGGACAUUAUAGAAAAAAACCUUGUAAUCAACUUGACUCAAGAUUGACUCUACAGACUCAGAAGAUGAUGCUAACAGUGUUAGUUUUAUUUUUGUACUGCAAUUUUUAGUUUAAAAUAUGUUGGAUGCACUCAUCAAAUAAUUAUGUAUAUUGUCUGUUGCUGCCUGGUGAUUCAUAACCACCAGCUUAAUUUCUGUGAAUACUGUAUAUUUAACUUAUGAAAACCAAGA
rnacentral:sRNA from 1 species